UUGAUGAAACGCUCGUCACUGAUUGGCUCAGGUGACUCCACCCGUGAAGGCCAACUACGUCACGCAGGUCUCUGUGACGUAACCAGGUGACCCUGACCUCCAGGUCGAUCUCCGGGCUACUUUUGUUUGUUGCAUAACCAUCGACAAUAACGUCCCGCUACGCACGGUGCUGUGAACAGACGGUCGUCAUCGAUUGUAAGAAUAAAGAAAGAAUAAAAGCUUUCACUGCCUGACAUCCCGCUUUUGCCUUCCAUUGAAACCGUUAUAACUGCCUUUGGCUGCCAUCUUGUUUGAAGUAAAACACGAAUAACGAAACAAAUAAUAAUCCGGGCAAUCAAUGAGCAAGCACGUGCGUCUGCACCGUACCUGUGACGUUCCAUGAUGGAGGGAGGAGUGGAGGCAAGAGUCGAAACUAAUUGAUUACUGGUCUUUGCAGGUCUGGUGUUUGAUCCCCGGCCGGCGGACUCUUGAGGGUGGACCAUCUGCCACCUGAGCACCUUCCCUCCUUCAUUGCUAUCUGAAACUAUUCCACAUCCUAGCCGUCUGCUAGACGAGCUUCACAAACACAGGACGAUGCCGCUUGUCAUUGUUCUCUGUCUCAUCCACCCGGAACUUGCUGCACCCCGUAAUGACCUGUUGGAACAGAAGCUGUUGAGGAGGAUUAGCUGGAUGUGAUGAAACAACCGACUGACCGCCUGCUGCUGCUGCUGCUCGUGUGGUAAACAUUCUGGGACAAGCCCACGAUGCAGCCAUGGUGGUUGUUUAGUCUCAGUUGAGGGGAGAUGCGAUUGAGAGGAGGUUGUGGCCCAGAAGAUUGUAGCCCCGUCAACCCUGUCGUCUCCACCAUCCGAGUGUGCAGCACAAAGACAGGUGAACAGGAAAAACAGCAUGCUCUUCUCUCCACCCUGAUGUGUCGCCAUCCACCCACUAGUCAAGCAAGUCGCAACGACCCACGCGCAGUCCUACGGACAGCUGAGCCCGGUAGUGACGAGUGAGGAUUGUUACAAGAGUGCCAUGGCGAGCUGCUGACAGUUGGAAUCCUGUUAAUCUCUCUGUACAGUGAAGUUAGUUAUCUGUGUAUACACCAUCAGGCCACGAUAGUUUAAGUGAACGAUCCAGCAAACAGACAGUACGUUGGAGCGAUCGCUAGUUUCAAACAUACAAAACAAACAUCAGUAAAAUAAGUCUGACGGCGAAUUAAAUGAAUAUAAAAUA